rnacentral:rRNA from 1 species
UACGUAGGGUGCAAGCGUUGUCCGGAAUUAUUGGGCGUAAAGAGCUCGUAGGCGGUUUGUCGCGUCGGCCGUGAAAUCUCCACGCUUAACGUGGAGCGUGCGGUCGAUACGGGCAGACUUGAGUUCGGUAGGGGAGACUGGAAUUCCUGGUGUAGCGGUGAAAUGACGCAGAUAUCAGGAGGAACACCGGUGGCGAAGGCGGGUCUCUGGGCCGACUACUGACGCUGAGGAGCGAAAGCGUGGGGAGCAAACAGG